rnacentral:rRNA from 1 species
UAAGACGGAGGGUGCUAGCGUUGUUCGGAAUUACUGGGCGUAAAGGGCGCGUAGGCGGCCGGAUCAGUCGGGUGUGAAAGCCCGGGGCUCAACCCCGGAACGGCACCCGAGACGGUUCGGCUGGAGACCGGGAGAGGAGGGUGGAAUAGCCAGUGUAGAGGUGAAAUUCGUAGAUAUUGGCUGGAACACCGGUGGCGAAAGCGGCUCUCUGGCCCGGUUCUGACGCUGAGGCGCGAAAGCGUGGGGAGCAAACAGGAUUAGAUACCCUGGUAGUCCACGCCCUAAACGAUGUGUGCUGGGCGUCGGGGGGCUUGCCCCUCGGUGCCGGAGCCAACGCGGUAAGCACACCGCCUGGGGAGUACGGCCGCAAGGUUAAAACUCAAAGGAAUUGACGG